UGCUUGUUGAUUUUUAUAACAAGUACUUUCUGCCCGGUGAUUUUAAACGGCCGCGGUAUCCUGACCGUGCAAAGGUAGCAUAAUCAUUUGCCCUUUUAUUGGGGGCUGGAAUGAAGGGGAUUACGAGACUUAAACUGUCUCUUUUUUUAAUUUGAAAUUUACUGCCUUUGUGAAGAAGCAAAGGUACUAAAAAAAGACAAGAAGACCCUAUUAAGCUUUAUUUGUAAGAACAUAAUCUGUAGUUAACAAAAUAUAUUAUUAUGUUUAUAAAUUUGGUUGGGGUGACCAAAGAAGAAAGAAAUCUUCUUUAAAAACUUUAACUAUCUGUUAAAUAAAGAUCCGAGAUAUCUCGAUUAUAAGAACAAGUUACUAUAGGGAUAACAGCGUAAUUUUCUCAGAGAGUUCACAUUUAAGAGAAAGAUUGCGACCUCGAUGUUGACUUAUUGUUUCCUAAAAAGGUGUAGCAGCUUUAAGGGUUAGUCUGUUCGACUAUUAAAACAGU
rnacentral:rRNA from 1 species